UACAGAGGAUGCAAGCGUUAUCCGGAAUGAUUGGGCGUAAAGCGUCUGUAGGUGGCUUUUUAAGUCCGCCGUCAAAUCCCAGGGCUCAACCCUGGACAGGCGGUGGAAACUACCAAGCUGGAGUACGGUAGGGGCAGAGGGAAUUUCCGGUGGAGCGGUGAAAUGCGUAGAUAUCUGGAGGAACACCGGUGGCGAAGGCGGCAUCCUGGACCAACACUGACACUGAUGAGCGAAAGCCAGGGGAGCAAACGGG
rnacentral:rRNA from 1 species